rnacentral:rRNA from 1 species
UACGUAGGCAGCGAGCGUUGUUCGGAGUUACUGGGCGUAAAGGGUGUGUAGGCGGUUAUUUAAGUUUGGUGUGAAAUCUCCCGGCUCAACCGGGAGGGUGCGCCGAAUACUGAAUGACUUCGAGUGCGGGAGAGGAGAGUGGAAUUCCUGGUGUAGCGGUGAAAUGCGUAGAUAUCAGGAAGAACACCAAUGGCGAAGGCAGCUCUCUGGGACGGUACUGACGCUGAGACGCGAAAGCGUGGGGAGCGAACAGG